rnacentral:rRNA from 1 species
GAGUUUGAUCAUGGCUCAGAAUCAACGCUGGCGGCGUGCCUAACACAUGCAAGUCGAACGCGAAAGUGGAGCAAUCCAUGAGUAGAGUGGCAAACGGGUGAGUAACACGUGGGUGACCUGCCUUCGAGUGGGGGAUAACGUCCCGAAAGGGACGCUAAUACCGCAUAACAUCCUGUCUUUUAAGAGAUGGACAUCAAAGCUGGGGAUCGCAAGACCUAGCGCUUGAAGAGGGGCCCGCGUCCGAUUAGCUAGUUGGUGGGGUAAUGGCUCACCAAGGCAACGAUCGGUAGCCGGCCUGAGAGGGCGGACGGCCACACUGGGACUGAGACACGGCCCAGACUCCUACGGGAGGCAGCAGUGGGGAAUUGUUCGCAAUGGGCGCAAGCCUGACGACGCAACGCCGCGUGGAGGAUGAAGACCUUCGGGUCGUAAACUCCUUUCGAUCGAGACGAAUGGCCCUUGGGCUAAUCACCAGGGGUAUGACGGUACCGAGAGAAGAAGCCCCGGCUAACUCCGUGCCAUCAGCCGCGGUAA